rnacentral:lncRNA from 1 species
GGAAGAAUGAAGCCUCUGUCAGUCAAUCUCGUUGCUGAUGAAGACACAGAAGACAGUGACACCUGGGUCACGCCAGGAAGCCAGAGCUAUGAAGGCCUCAGGGUUGGGUCAUCCGAGAAGGGUCAUGCUAAAGGAAAAGACAGCGACAUGCCUCAGCAAACAGCAAUCCCACAGUAUCUACUUUACAAAACGUUUAAAAAAUGUCAAAGGGGAACCAGUAAGAAUGAAGACUCUGAAGAGAUUUAAUGGCUUCUCCUUUCUACAAGUGACAAACAAGUAGAGUCUCUAGCAUGCUGGAUUUGAGAGUAGGACUCAGAAUAAAAUAAGCAUUCAAACAGACACAGGUCCAAUCACAGCUGUUCAUACUCCAGUUAUUAAUUGUAAGGUACAAUCCCUGAUGGAUGGGGAUCUGCAAUUUUAAGAACAUUAACAACUAAUAAUGAAAUUGGAAAAACAAAAACAAAAACAAAAGAAAAGAAAACUUGAGGAAAAAAAAAAAGGACCAUAGAAAGAGACCCAGAUGGCUUGUGGGAAACUCCGAGAUCUGCCAGGGAUGGGAGCAGAGGAUUUCUUGUGAAUGUGUGAUUGUAACUUGUUCCUGUAGGAAAGAGGGACAGCACCGGACUCCAGAUGCCUGUGUGGCAGAAACAUUGUUGUCUGACGCUGCUCAUUGCCCCCCUGCCCCUGCCCCUGCCCCUGCCCCUGCCCCUGCCCCUGCCCCUGCCCCGAGCAUCCACGGGGCAGAAGCAUUGCCUUAGGUGGAACAGACAAAUCACAGUGGCGACUUUUCUGAAGAGCACAC